rnacentral:lncRNA from 1 species
CAAGAACCACUCUUCUAGAUGCAGGCAAGAGAAACGUGGAGCAGGAGAACCACUCUUCUUUUCAUUUCAAGUAAAUAAUUGUUGAAGCUAAAAACUAUUUUGCUUUCAAUCUUUAAAAUUUUGGAUUAUGUUUUCCUAGGUCCAAAAACAUAUCUUUAUACUCUGAUAGUGUUUGGGAUGCCUAAAUGGUCCACAAGCUUGGGAUGUCUGGACAUCACCUGAAGCAAGAAGACAACAUUGGUCAAUCGAUAGUGGUAGCAAGAAUUGAGAAUUUAUGUUUUAUACCUAGCUAAAUGUUUUUGAUGUAUUUUUUUUGUUAAUUUUAGCUGUAUAAUACACAUUUUUUGAAAUCUAAAAUCUGCAUGGCAAAUGUUAUUAAAUUUAGCUGUAUAAUACACAUUCUUUGAAUGGUGAAUGUACAUGACAAGUUUCUAUAAUAUACUGAAAAUGAUAGAAUGAAUUGGAUUUUCUCUUAAUUAUCUUAUUGUACUUUAUUUUUGUGAUAAAAUACCACCACAGUUUAGUAGUUUUCAUGUGCUGAAAUGAAGCCGUAGCGUUAGCACGGGCACUAUACUAGUUUUGCUAGGUAGCAAGUCAUUGUCCUGUAUAGACGAUCUGCUCAUAUGAGUUUUUGCUUUUAUGCCUAAGUGCAAUAAGUCUUUACAAUAUCAUCCAUUGGCCUGUCAUAUGAGGUGAUUUCUUUAACUUCUCUUGGAUUUUUCUUUAAACAUGUUAUUAUUAAAGUAGUAAUUUGUUUUUACAUAAUUCUAUUAAAAAUACCUGCAUGUUUUGAAGCACUGAUGUGUGUGACUUUAUUUGUAGAAACACUCAGAUAGCCUGUUCAAGUACUUUAUUUGUAGAAACACUCAUAUUUUACACCAGAUUUUAGUCCUCAAGUUGUCUUUAAGACAUCAGCAAGGUAGUGAAAACUAUGUGAUGAACAAUGCAUUUUUUUAUUGACAUUGACACUCCAGUAUUUGCUUUUGUUUUCCAGGUUGCAAUGGCUGUCAGAGAGUAGCACACAAAGGCAAAAGAAAGAGUUGUGACAGGAACUGAUUAUGCAGCAAUCUACAAGAAAGAGUUGUGACAGAACUGAUUAUGCAGCAACCUACACUUGAUGCGUUUGAUUAAAUGCAUGUUUUUUUUACAAUUUAGUUCUGAUGUGCUUGUAGCCGAGUGAUGUAACUAGGACGACCUGCACAUCAUGCUCUAUAGUGAUAUUCUAUGAACUUAUUAUAUUUAUAUUUGUGGCAAUGUUGUGGGUAUGUAACUUUAAUAAUUGUAUUAAUUAAUUAUCUCGAUGGUAAUGAGAUACAGCAUGUAGGCUGACUAUAUUGAUUGUAUGUGCAUGGGCUUAAAAAAGUGAUGUGGGCUGGACUGAAAAAAAAUCCUUCCUAAA